rnacentral:rRNA from 1 species
GAUCCUGGCUCAGGAUGAACGCUAGCUACAGGCUUAACACAUGCAAGUCGAGGGGCAGCAUGGUCUUAGCUUGCUAAGACUGAUGGCGACCGGCGCACGGGUGAGUAACACGUAUCCAACCUGCCGUCUACUCUUGGACAGCCUUCUGAAAUGAAGAUUAAUACAAGAUGGCAUCAUGACGUCCGCAUGUUCACAUGAAUUAAAGGUUAUUCCGGUAGACGAG